AUUGAACGCUGGCGGUAGGCUUAACACAUGCAAGUCGUGCGAGAAAGUAUCUUCGGAUAUGAGUAGAGCGGCGGACGGGUGAGUAACGCGUAGGAAUCUACCUAGUAGAAGGGGAUAGCCCGGGGAAACCCGGAUUAAUACCGUAUACCUCCUUCGGGAGAAAGAAGGCCUCUCUUUGAAGCUUUCGCUAUUAGAUGAGCCUGCGUAAGAUUAGCUUGUUGGUGAGGUAAAGGCUCACCAAGGCGACGAUCUUUAGCUGGUCUGAGAGGAUGAUCAGCCACACUGGGACUGAGACACGGCCCAGACUCCUACGGGAGGCAGCAGUGGGGAAUUUUCCGCAAUGGGCGAAAGCCUGACGGAGCAACGCCGCGUGAGGGAUGAAGGCCUCUGGGCUGUAAACCUCUUUUAUCAAGGAAGAAGAUCUGACGGUACUUGAUGAAUAAGCCACGGCUAAUUCCGUG
rnacentral:rRNA from 1 species